UACGAAGGGGGCUAGCGUUGCUCGGAAUCACUGGGCGUAAAGCGCACGUAGGCGGGUCGUUAAGUCGGGGGUGAAAUCCUGGAGCUCAACUCCAGAACUGCCUUCGAUACUGGCGACCUUGAGUCCGGGAGAGGUGAGUGGAACUCCGAGUGUAGAGGUGAAAUUCGUAGAUAUUCGGAAGAACACCAGUGGCGAAGGCGGCUCACUGGCCCGGUACUGACGCUGAGGUGCGAAAGCGUGGGGAGCAAACAGGG
rnacentral:rRNA from 1 species